rnacentral:rRNA from 1 species
GAGUCAAGUGGCUCAGGAUGAACGCUAGCUACAGGCUUAACACAUGCAAGUCGAGGGGCAGCAUGACCUAGCAAUAGGUUGAUGGCGACCGGCGCACGGGUGAGUAACACGUAUCCAACCUACCGGUUAUUCCGGGAUAGCCUUUCGAAAGAAAGAUUAAUACCGGAUAGUAUAACGAGAAGGCAUCUUCUUGUUAUUAAAGAAUUUCGAUAACCGAUGGGGAUGCGUUCCAUUAGUUUGUUGGCGGGUAACGGCC